AAUAAACGUAGUCAUAAUUUUUCGUGUCUAACUUUGAUCAUCCGUUUUAUUUAAAUUUUUUUAUGAUUAGUAUUUUUAUUAUUAUUAGAUUAUGAAACAUAAAUAGUACUUUAUGCGUGACUUAUGUUUUUAGUUUUUAUAAAAAAAAAUUAAAUAAGAUGAACGAUUAAAGUUGUACAUAAAAAUAGAUGGUCGUGCUUAUU
rfam:Oryza meridionalis cultivar OR44 (W2112) chromosome 5, whole genome shotgun sequence.